GCUAGUAAUCGUGGAUCAGCAUGCCACGGUGAAUACGUUCCCGGGUCUUGUACACACCGCCCGUCACACCAUGGGAGGUCGGUAACACCCGAAGCCAGUAGUCUAACCGCAAGGAGGACGCUGCCGAAGGUGGGAUUGACGACUGGGGUGAAGUCGUAACAAGGUACC
rnacentral:rRNA from 1 species